rnacentral:rRNA from 1 species
GAUGAACGCUGGCGGCGUGCCUAAUACAUGCAAGUCGAGCGAACGGACGAGAAGCUUGCUUCUCUGAUGUUAGCGGCGGACGGGUGAGUAACACGUGGAUAACCUACCUAUAAGACUGGGAUAACUUCGGGAAACCGGAGCUAAUACCGGAUAAUAUUUUGAACCGCAUGGUUCAAAAGUGAAAGACGGUCUUGCUGUCACUUAUAGAUGGAUCCGCGCUGCAUUAGCUAGUUGGUAAGGUAACGGCUUACCAAGGCAACGAUGCAUAGCCGACCUGAGAGGGUGGUCGGCCACACUGGAACUGAGACACGGUCCAGACUCCUACGGGAGGCAGCAGUAGGGAAUCUUCCGCAAUGGGCGAAAGCCUGACGGAGCAACGCCGCGUGAGUGAUGAAGGUCUUCGGAUCGUAAAACUCUGUUAUUAGGGAAGAACAUAUGUGUAAGUAACUGUGCACAUCUUGACGGUACCUAAUCAGAAAGCCACGGCUAACUACGU